UUGAGUCAUGCCACUUUACGGCAAUGAUCAUACCAGCGUUGAUCAUACCCAGGGCCACAGCUGAGCAGGCACAAGAAGAAGAAGCUGAAGCAGAGAAGAUAGAGGUUGGAGAUGUGGCCUGAUAAUAGAGGCACAGUGUGGGAACUCGCAGAAAUACAGUUCUCAGGAAUCAGAACCUCUAGUUUGUCUGAAGAUCAGAGGGCAGAGCCAGCCACUAGUUAACCAUAGAGGUCUGGAGGUCUGUAUGGACAGACAGGAAGUGAGAUGGCUGGACAGAGAGAGCAAGUGAUACAGCGGGAGGAGACUUCUGCUGGGAAAUUGAGUAGGCAGGAAUUUGCACAUGGAGACCAAGUGGAGGGCCCCAGCCAAUGGCCUCGGCAUCCUUCUUGCUUGCUGAGUGCAUGUGCACGUCACCUUGUCACUGUGGGACCCACAAGUCAAUCGAGAAGGCGGGAUUCCAACUACUAUGAAAUACCCUAGUCAGCGCGACAGAUGAGAGCCUGAUUCCCCACAUUAAGCAAGUGUAACCUUUAACAAAAGCAUAAACCACAGAAGAGUUUGGUCUUCUUUCUUCUCAGAGUCAUCAGGGUUCAAUAAGACCAAGUGUUACUGUAUGUG
rnacentral:lncRNA from 1 species